rnacentral:rRNA from 1 species
UACAGAGACUGCAAGCGUUAUUCGGAUUCACUGGGCGUAAAGGGUGCGCAGGCGGCCAAGUGUGUCAGGUGCGAAAUCCCGAGGCUUAACCUCGGAACUGCGCCUGAAACUACUUGGCUAGAGUACUGGAGAGGGUAACGGAAUUCACGGUGUAGCAGUGAAAUGCGUAGAUAUCGUGAGGAACACCAGAGGCGAAGGCGAGUCCCUGGACAUUUCCUGACACUGAGGCACGAAAGCUAGGGGAGCAAACAGG